CCGCAGCUCGCCGAGGGCGGAGCGGCCGGCCUCCUGGAUGGUGUCGAGGGCGGCCAGGGCCUGGUCGGGCCGCCGUUCGAAGACGUCGGCGGCGGC
rnacentral:tRNA from 1 species